rnacentral:rRNA from 1 species
UGAGGAAUAUUGCACAAUGGGCGCAAGCCUGAUGCAGCGACGCCGCGUGUGGGAUGAAGGGGCUACGCCUCGUAAACCACUGUAGCCCGGGACGAAAAACGCCUUAGAGGCGUUAGACGGUACCGGGAAAGUAAGGGUCGGCUAACUACGUGCCAGCAGCCGCGGUAAUACGUAGGACCCAAGCGUUGUCCGGAUUUACUGGGUGUAACGGGUGCGCAGGCGGAUGGGUAAGUCAGGGGUGAAAGUCUGCAGCUUAACUGUAGA